rnacentral:tRNA from 1 species
GUGGCUGUAGUUCAGUUGGUUAGAGCGUCAGAUUGUGGUUCUGAAUGUCGUGGGUUCGAGUCCCACCCGCCACC